rnacentral:rRNA from 1 species
UACGAAGGGGGCUAGCGUUGCUCGGAAUUACUGGGCGUAAAGGGCGCGUAGGCGGAUAGUUGAGUUAGAGGUGAAAGCCCAGGGCUCAACCCUGGAAUAGCCUUUAAUACUGGAUAUCUUGAGUUCGGGAGAGGUGAGUGGAACUCCGAGUGUAGAGGUGAAAUUCGUAGAUAUUCGGAAGAACACCAGUGGCGAAGGCGACUCACUGGCCCGAUACUGACGCUGAGGCGCGAAAGCGUGGGGAGCAAACAGG